rnacentral:rRNA from 1 species
UACGUAGGCAGCAAGCGUUGUUCGGAGUUACUGGGCGUAAAGGGUGUGUAGGCGGUCCUUUAAGUUUGGUGUGAAAUCUCCCGGCUUAACCGGGAGGGUGCGCCGAAUACUGAGGGACUAGAGUACGGGAGAGGAAAGUGGAAUUCCUGGUGUAGCGGUGAAAUGCGUAGAUAUCAGGAGGAACACCGGUGGUGUAGACGGCUUUCUGGACCGUAACUGACGCUGAGACACGAAAGCGUGGGUAGCAAACAGG